rnacentral:RNase_P_RNA from 2 species
AAUUCUGAGUAAUCGCGCCUAGCUUUUGCUGGGUGAGGAAAGUCCACUCUCGCACAAGCUGAGAUGCUUGUAGUGUUCGUGAUCGGUGAAAAAAUAAACCGGUGAAUCACUUUUAUUAGUGACUACGGCGGAGAAACAAGCUAAGGUUCUGCUAUGCUUUAAUACUCCUGAAAAGUGCCACAGUGACGAAACAUUGGAGAAAUCCAAUCGAAUGGAACGCGGUAAACCCCUCGAGCGGAGAACUCAAAUUUUCGGUAGAGGAGCUUCACGCACGGAAAAUGAACCAAGCGUGGGGACCGCAUCAUAUUUAUGAUGCGAUAGAUAGAUGAUUACUGCUCAUAUGAUUUGACCUGACAUUUCAUGUGAGUACGAAACGUGGCUUAUAGGA